UACGUAGGGGGCAAGCGUUAUCCGGAAUUACUGGGUGUAAAGGGAGCGUAGACGGUAAUGUAAGUCUGGAGUGAAAGGCGGGGGCCCAACCCCCGGACUGCUCUGGAAACUAUGUUACUAGAGUGCAGGAGAGGUAAGCGGAAUUCCUAGUGUAGCGGUGAAAUGCGUAGAUGUUAGGAGGAACACCAGUGGCGAAGGCGGCUUACUGGACUGUAACUGACGUUGAGGCUCGAAAGCGUGGGGAGCAAACAGG
rnacentral:rRNA from 1 species